CUACGGGUGGCUGCAGGCGAGAAAACUUUGCAAUGUGCGAAAGCACGACAAGGUUAAUCCGAGUGGUUUCUGCUAAAGGAACCUUUUGUCGGUCCUAGAAACACCGAUGAAUAAGGGGUGGGCAAGUUCUGGUGUCAGCCGCCGCGGUAAAACCAGCACCUCAAGUGGUCAGGAUGAUUAUUGGGCCUAAAGCAUCCGUAGCCGGCUCUGUAAGUUUUCGGUUAAAUCUGUACGCUCAACGUACAGGCUGCCGGGAAUACUGCAGAGCUAGGGAGUGGGAGAGGUAGACGGUACUCGGUAGGAAGGGGUAAAAUCCUUUGAUCUAUUGAUGACCACCUGUGGCGAAGGCGGUCUACCAGAACACGUCCGACGGUGAGGGAUGAAAGCUGGGGGAGCAAACCGGAUUAGAUACCCCGGUAGUC
rnacentral:rRNA from 1 species